CCCGUGAAAUAUUCGUCUCCUGAUUCCUGAGAGGGCGCUUCUGUGAAAAGAAAGAAGGCAGAUAACUGGAUUCCUUGUAAACAUGCUGAAAACUGACCUUUUGGUAUAUAGACUAAAGGGUAUACCUGAGACCACACAAGAAGAGAAGACAGGCAGAGUGGUAUCUGCGUCUCAUUCUGGUACAAAGGCCCAUUUGCAUCAAGUGAAAUGUGGACUUUGGAUGUGCGAAAUAAUCUGUGAGAACACUGCUCAGCUAAAGCCCUAGGGCAAAGACUGAAGGCUUCACUGGACAGACAAGUCCUUCCUGUCUCUGACCCUGUGCAUUCGGGGUGACCCAGCUAUAUAAUAUUCCACGAGGGGUGAGAAAUUUCCUCUACACCCACCAGUAGGACUUUUUGGGGGAUGUGGAAUUUGGCCACUGGAAGGGAGGCUAUUGACAGACAACCCAGAAAGAGCUCCUAAGGUCAAUUUUCAGAAAAUAUGUUGAUCUCUCUGUACUCCAUUCAUUCUUUUAGUCUUAAGUAUUUAUUUCAUAAAUGGGCUGUCUGUUUGACCUAUCUGAAUUCUAAAUUAAAAGUCAUCAGCUUUAAUAUUGUAACAUAUUGAUUUCAUGGUACUGAUCAUGUAACCUGUGGUUCCAUGUGGUCUAGGGCCACUUCUAAUUGGUUUAUACCUGUCUAUCCAGUGACAAGCACAUCUUGCUACUUAGAUGGUCAUCUCAGACAUUCAAAAUU
rnacentral:lncRNA from 1 species